GCAUGUUUUGGAAGUUCAUCCACGAGGUAGCUGUGCCAGGAUUUCAUGGAAAAAAAUACAUAUAUAUAUAUAAAUACCCCACAGCCUGGGUGAGCCACUUGCCCUCAGUGCAUCUGUUGAUGGACACUGGGUUGUUCCUGAGCUUUGGGCGUUUUGAAUCCUGCAGGGCAAGUGUGAGGCAUCAUGACACCACCGCUGGGCACCUGUAGGGUGCACACUACCUCGUCUGUUCUCAAGCCAGUGGGGCUGCGGAGACCAGACAGUGAAGCCUUGCCAACUUGGGAACACAAAUAUUUGCCAGUCAAGAAAAUAUUCUCCCGUCAAUCAAAACCCAGACUAGCUGGCACACAUUGCCCUCCAGAAGCCGGAGGCAGAUUCUAUUUUGGCAGGAUCCAGGUGGCCUGCAGCUUCCCCUCCUCCUGAACACCCCCAGGCUCCUUGUCUUCCUACUUCAUUUUGAAGCCGAGGAGACUGAAACUCAGAGCGUCAUGAUUUAGCACUGAGUGAGCUGUUAUUUAUUUUCUUGGAGAGGAUUUGUCUUGAUACAUGACCGAAUGAAGGAUUCCUGAGUCACAGGCUCAUCCAGAGAUUCUGACAGGCGAGGGUGCUAACCAGCACUGUUGAUUCAGCAAUGUCCACGAUAUAGAAGGCACAGAAGGCAUGGGGUAUGCAUGGGCUGGCACAGCAGGUAGGUCUGCAUGGAAAACACGUUCACAAAUGGGUCCCCUCCUAAGUCGCACCUGGUGCUUGCUAACUGCUGAUUCUGAGCCUCUUCCCUUUCCAGCGCCAGAAUUGAACAGGUGUGGGGUGGGGUGGCAGGAUCUGCAUCUUUAUAGGUUUUUAACAAAUGUGUAGAGAGAGGGCAUCAGAGUAGGAAAUGGAAGGAAAAAUCCCUUCCUCCAUUUUGGUGCCCACACAGUAUUCAGGAGCUCUGAGCCUAAUAAGGCCAAACAAAUGCAGCUGCUCUUGGCCUUGUUGUUCGGAAGCCAGUGCAGAUGCCAUCUCCAGGACACUCAAAGUGUGGGCAGGCAGGCGCCUGGGGCAGGCGCAGGGACACAAAACUAGCGCCAGCUGCAGGACGACCCCAAAGUACCAGGUGCACAGCACCAGAGGGGCGCGGGGCAAGAGGUAGAGAGA